UUUUACAGAUGAAGACACAGGUGAAGACCUAAGAUAAGUCUUAGGUUAAGUCAUGUGUCCAGGGUCGCGCCGUGAGGAGGCAGUGGAGCAUCCUCACUGUGUGUGUUCCAGCACGUUUCUUUCCGAUUCCAGAGCCCUUUCUCCUAACCAUCCCAGGGUGAAGCCUCCCUAAGAAGACCACCAACUAGGAACUAAACAUACUCCCCUGGAGAAGUGUAUUCAUAAAAGUCUCCUCCUUCGGCGUUGUUCUCCAUUCAUUAGCUGUUUCCUGAACGGUGCUGUGCAGGGGUUUCAGAGGUGCUCUCGGUGCCUGCCCUCUGCGACUUCACAGAUGCAGUCACCCUCAUUUCUUGCCUGAAGUCCUAUAGUAGACUCUUGUCCCUAAAACCUAUUCCUACAACUGCCACACAGAUCUCUUUAAAAAAUCCAUCUACAAGUUCUGACUGAACUACUUCUCACCACAAAACAUAUCCCGAUAUGUUCACUUUUCUGCAUUCCCACUGCUACCAUCCCGGUCCAGUUCACGACUGGCUUUCUCCCAAACUACUCCAACGACCUCCUAACUGCCUACCUAAAUCACUGGCCUAGGGUGACUCUUCUACCAAGUGAUGGAUGUCUGCUGAAGCAAAGAGCCAGGGGACACGGAUUCGAGCCUUGGUCCAGAAUGAUCCCACAUGCCGCGGAGCAACUAAGCCCGUGCGCCACAACUACUGAGCCUGAGCUCUAGAGCCCGCAAGCCACAACUACUGAGCCCACGUGCCACAACUACGGAAGCCUGUGCGCCUAGAGCCCAUGCUCCACAACAAGAGAAGCCACAACAAUGAGAAGCACGCGCAGCGCAACGAAGAGUAGCCCCCACUCACCGCAACUAAAGGAAGCUCGUGCGCAGCAACGAAGACCCAACACAGCCAAAAAUAAAUAAAUGUAUUUAAAAAAAUACUUACUGAGUUUGUUUGGGCUUAUCUACUUAAUGACAGAACUAUUAGGUAUCUCUUUAGGCCUAGGGGCAUCAUGAAACAAUUAUUGAAUCACUAAAGGCACAUGAGUGGAGGAAAUUUGGGAACCUUUAUUCCAAAUAAGUCAGUGGAUCCCGGAGAUCAAAAACACCAGCGUUAAGUUUUUAAUUAUACACACUUCUCCAGGUGCUACCCCAAGUUUUAAAUUAUACAGACUUCUCCAAGUGCUACCCCAAACCUACUGAAAAAACAUUUGGGAGUUGAGCCCAGGAUCCACUGGUUUAGCCUAACUCCUUUAUUAAGGCCCAGAAGGGGAAAUCUCUUGCCAGAGGUCAUACAGCAAGUUAGUGGUUGAGCUGGGAUUAGAAUCCAAAUUCUAAUGGAAUCUAUCAGAUUCUCCUCCCCUUCAUCAGCAUUUCUGAUGUCCAUACCUACAAAUGUUGUCACACCAUCUGCUACUUAAGCAGACAUGGCCCUGACCUCAAAGGCAGAUGGCAAUUAUAUGGACAAACUUCAUCCUGAAUACAUCAGUGGGGGUAUUA